GUGACAAGUAUAAUGUUAUAAUGCUUGUAGUUAUAAUCAUUUAUUUAACUAUUAUGAUAACAGGAUAUCAUGGUCAUUAAUCUAUUUUAUUUUAUUUCUCUCUAUUUGUAGUUAUGUUUGCCAGUGACAGACGCCAUACUGUUCCACUCAAAGAUGAGAUGUAAUCUCUAGCGUUUGGAGCUGUGAUUCUUCAGGACAAGAUGCCAUUCACACUUGAUACAUGAAGAUGCACAUCACUGACAGGCUUUCCUGUGUAACACUGAUUCAAGUUUUCCACCAUUGUAUUUAUCCAAAUGAGGUUCUCAGGGAUCCCCAGUUGAAGGCAUCAGGACAUCAGAUGUUGGCCUGGACAGAUGUACCAACAGUACACCACAAAGACCUCUGCUUUUAAAUGGAUGGCUGAUUACUACCAUGUUCUGUGAGGGUAUUACUUAUAGCAAAACUGAGCACC